rnacentral:tRNA from 1 species
UCCCAUAUGAUCUAGUGGUUAGGAUUUGGCGCUCUCACCGCCAUGGCCCGGGUUCAUUUCCCGGUGUGAGAA